GGGCCGAUAGCUCAGUUGGUAGAGUGCUCCGCUCGCAGCGGGGAGGUCAGGGGUUCGACUCCCCUUCGGUCCA
rnacentral:tRNA from 1 species